GAUGAACGCUGGCGGCGUGCUUAACACAUGCAAGUCGAACGGUGAAGCAGGAGCUUGCUCUUGUGGAUCAGUGGCGAACGGAUGAGUAACACGUGAGCAACCUGCCCCUGACUCUGGGAUAAGCGCUGGAAACGGCGUCUAAUACUGGAUAUGUGAUGUGACCGCAUGGUCUGCAUCUGGAAAGAAUUUCGGUUGGGGUUGGGCUCGCGGCCUAUCAGCUUGUUGGUGAGGUAAUGGCUCACCAAGGCGUCGACGGGUAGCCGGCCUGAGAGGGUGACCGGCCACACUGGGACUGAGACACGGCCCAGACUCCUACGGGAGGCAGCAGUGGGGAAUAUUGCACAAUGGGCGGAAGCCUGAUGCAGCAACGCCGCGUGAGGGAUGACGGCCUUCGGGUUGUAAACCUCUUUUAGCAGGGAAGAAGCGAAAGUGACGGUACCUGCAGAAAAAGCACCGGCUAACUACGUGCCAGCAGCCGCCGUAA
rnacentral:rRNA from 1 species